rfam:Stomoxys calcitrans breed 8C7A2A5H3J4 unplaced genomic scaffold Scaffold425, whole genome shotgun sequence.
GCCAACGUAGUGCAGAGGUCAGCAUGUCCGGUUAUGACGCUAAACGCUUGGGUUCGAAUCCUGACGGUGGUU